rnacentral:miRNA from 1 species
AGCGGCGCGGUAGGAGCA